rnacentral:rRNA from 1 species
UACAGAGGGAGCCAGCGUUAUUCGGAAUUAUUGGGCGUAAAGGGCGCGUAGGCGGCCAUGCGUGUCUUCCGUGAAAUCCCUCGGCUUAACUGAGGACGUGCGGAAGAAACUGCAAGGCUUGAGUCCGGGAGAGGGGGGUGGAAUUCCCAGUGUAGCGGUGAAAUGCGUAGAUAUUAGGAAGAACACCGGUGGCGAAGGCGGCUCUCUGGAACGGUACUGACGCUGAGACGCGAAAGCGUGGGGAGCGAACAGG